GACGAACGCUGGCGGCGUGCUUAACACAUGCAAGUCGAACGGAAAGGCCCUGCUUUUGUGGGGUGCUCGAGUGGCUAACGGGUGAGUAACACGUGAGUAACCUGCCCUUGACUUUGGGAUAACUUCAGGAAACUGGGGCUAAUACCGGAUAGGAGCUCCUGCUGCAUGGUGGGGGUUGGAAAUUUUCGGCGGUUGGGGAUGGACUCGCGGCUUAUCAGCUUGUUGGUGGGGUAGUGGCUUACCAAGGCUUUGACGGGUAGCCGGCCUGAGAGGGUGACCGGCCACAUUGGGACUGAGAUACGGCCCAGACUCAUACGGGAGGCAGCAGUGGGGAAUAUUGCACAAUGGGCGGAAGCAUGAUGCAGCAACGCCGCGUGCGGGAUGACGGCCUUCGGGGUGUAAACCGCUUUCGCCUGUGAAGAAGAGUGAGUGACGGUAAUGGGUAAAGAAGCACCGGCUAACUACGUG
rnacentral:rRNA from 1 species